GCGCAUUCCGCAGGAGAGAGCGGUUUGCCCGCCGGGCAGAACCGCCGCCGAAGGCGCAAGUGCACCCGCAAUCGCUCAGGCAAAAGGACUGCAAGAAUCGG
rnacentral:ncRNA from 1 species